UUACGACUAUACCACGUUGAAACACCAGUUCUUAUACGACCACGGAAGUUAAGCAACGUCGAUCCUGGUCAGUACAUAGAUGGGUGACCGCUUGGGAAGUAUUG